AUUGAACGCUGGCGGCAGGCCUAACACAUGCAAGUCGAGCGGCGGCGGUCGGGUGAGUGAUGCCUAGGAAUCUGCCUGGUAGUGGGGGAUAACGUCCGGAAACGGUAGCUAAUACCGCAUACCAUCAGAUGCACCUAUAUGGGAUUAGUUUGUAGGUGGGGUAACGGCUCACCAAGGCGACGAUCCCUAGCUGGGCUGAGAGGAUGAUCAGCCACACUGGAACUGAGACACGGCCCAGACUCCUACGGGAGGCAGCAGUGGGGAAUAUUGCACAAUGGGCGCAAGCCUGAUGCAGCCAUGCCGCGUGUAUGAAGAAGGCCUUCGGGUUGUAAAGUACUUUCAGUCGGGAGGCGUUACCGGCAGAAGAAGCACCGGCUAACUACGUGCCAGCAGCCGCGGUAAUUC
rnacentral:rRNA from 1 species